CGGGGGGCUGCAGUGGGGAAUAUUGCACAAUGGGCGCAAGCCUGAUGCAGCCAUGCCGCGUGUGUGAAGAAGGCCUUCGGGUUGUAAAGCACUUUCAGUAAGGAGGAAAGGUUAUACUUUAAUAGAGUAUAGCUGUGACGUUACUUACAGAAGAAGCACCGGCUAACUCCGUGCCAGCAGCCGCGGUAAUACGGAGGGUGCGAGCGUUAAUCGGAAUUACUGGGCGUAAAGCGUACGCAGGCGGUUUGUUAAGCGAGAUGUGAAAGCCCUGGGCUCAACCUGGGAACUGCAUUUCGAACUGGCAAACUAGAGUGUGAUAGAGGGUGGUAGAAUUUCAGGUGUAGCGGUGAAAUGCGUAGAGAUCUGAAGGAAUACCGAUGGCGAAGGCAGCCACCUGGGUCAACACUGACGCUCAUGUACGAAAGCGUGGGGAGCAAACAGGAUUAGAUACCCCGGUAGUC
rnacentral:rRNA from 1 species